rnacentral:rRNA from 1 species
CUAAUCUGGGGUAACGAGUUUGU